ACUGAUAGCCCAAUUUCAGUUUUUUCUGUUUUUUUU
rnacentral:sRNA from 1 species